UACGUAGGGAGCAAGCGUUGUCCGGAAUCAUUGGGCGUAAAGAGCGCGUAGGCGGUCCGGUAAGUCGGUUGUGAAAACUGGGGGCUCAACCCUCAGACGCGACCGAUACUGUCGGGCUAGAGUCCGGAAGAGGCGAGUGGAAUUCCUGGUGUAGCGGUGAAAUGCGCAGAUAUCAGGAGGAACACCAAUGGCGAAGGCGGGUCUCUGGGCCGUAACUGACGCUGAGGAGCGAAAGCGUGGGGAGCGAACAGG
rnacentral:rRNA from 1 species